AAAAAAUGAAACAAUAAUAAAAAAAGCUCGCUACUCGCUGCUCCCUUACAAAUGCUAAAUAUAUGUUGGUAUUGUCAAAUGCUCCCGCCCCCAACACCAACUAUUUCCAAAGUCCAAAAUGAAGGUUAAUCGAGCUCUAAUGAGUGUUCUUUUACGUUCACGGUACAGAAGAAGGCUCAGACUACCACCAGGGUCAUAAAAGUACCCCUGGAAAUGCCCUAAACUCCCACGAAAGCCUUGUCAAAUGAGUGUUCUUUUAGGUUCACGGUACAGAAGAAGGCUCAGACUACCACCAGGGCCAUAAAAGUACCCCUGGAAAUGCCCUAAACUCCCACGAAAGCCUUGUCAAAUGAGUGUUCUUUUAGGUUCACGGUACAGAAGAAGGCUCAGACUACCACCAGGGCCAUAAAAGUACCCCUGGAAAUGCCCUAAACUCCCACGAAAGCCUUGUCAAAUGAGUGUUCUUUUAGGUUCAGGGUACAGAAGAAGGCUCACACUACCACCAGGGUCAUAAAAGUACCCCUGGAAAUGCCCUAAACUCCUACGAAAGCCUUGUCAAAUGAGUGUUCUUUUAGGUUCACGGUACAGAAGAAGGCUCAGACUACCACCAGGGUCAUAAAAGUACCCCUGGAAAUGCCCUAAACUCCCACGAAAGCCUUGUCAAAUGAGUGUUCUUUUAGGUUCACGGUACAGAAGAAGGCUCAGACUACCACCAGGGUCAUAAAAGUACCCCUGGAAAUGCCCUAAACUCCCACGAAAGCCUUGUCAAAUGAGUGUUCUUUUAGGUUCACGGUACAGAAGAAGGCUCAGACUACCACCAGGGCCAUAAAAGUACCCCUGGAAAUGCCCUAAACUCCUACGAAAGCCUUGUCAAAUGAGUGUUCUUUUAGGUUCACGGUACAGAAGGCGGCUCAGACUACCACCAGGGCCAUAAAAGUACCCCUGGAAAUGCCCUAAACUCCUACGAAAGCCUUGUCAAAUGAGUGUUCUUUUAGGUUCACGGUACAGAAGAAGGCUCAGACUACCACCAGGCUCAUAAAAGUACCCCUGGAAAUGCCCUAAACUCCCACGAAAGCCUUGUCAAAUGAGUGUUCUUUUAGGUUCACGGUACAGAAGAAGGCUCAGACUACCACCAGGGUCAUAAAAGUACCCCUGGAAAUGCCCUAAACUCCCACGAAAGACUAGUAAAUUACGUGUUCUUGGGCACAGAAAUGUUUAAAAAUAUGACCCAUAAUCUCUUCACAAGGUUGCCAGUGGAGUAAAGCUUGGGCUCCUAAAACUUGCCUAAAUACACCGUUCUAUAUUCUCUGUAAUUUGAUUAUAUCUGUUGCCGUCACUUCUAUGAUCUUAAUUCCAUAUAGAAGAGAAGGUUAUGCUAUACUUUCCCAGGACGUUUUCCCAAUCAAAAUCUUAGAGCGACAUCUUACAAUCACAUUCCUGGUCAUGUUAGGUAAUUUUUUUUGCCUUUUGUAACAUCUUCUCCUUCUGAACCUUAACACAAUUUUUGCUGUCAACUGAAAUUCUCAAAUAUUUAAAUCUAUCUUCUUAUUACUCAAAAAUAUAUUAUCAUUAGUUUUUCGUCCUUUUUGAAGCUCUGAAACUGAGUUCGCUACAGAAAAACCGAAUUGCAUAUAAUUUUAGACUUCAUGUGCCAUUUUUCUUAUUCAUUUCUGCUUCUAA